CAGUCGAACGAAGCACAGAAAGCAGAUUACUUCGGUUUGAAGCUUUCUGUGACUGAGUGGCGGACGGGUGAGUAACGCGUGGAUAACCUGCCUCACACAGGGGGAUAACAGUUAGAAAUGACUGCUAAUACCGCAUAAGCGCACAGUCUCGCAUGGGACAGUGUGAAAAACUGAGGUGGUGUGAGAUGGAUCCGCGUCUGAUUAGGCAGUUGGCGGGGUAACGGCCCACCAAACCAACGAUCAGUAGCCGGCCUGAGAGGGUGAACGGCCACAUUGGGACUGAGACACGGCCCAAACUCCUACGGGAGGCAGCAGUGGGGAAUAUUGCACAAUGGGGGAAACCCUGAUGCAGCGACGCCGCGUGAAGGAAGAAGUAUUUCGGUAUGUAAACUUCUAUCAGCAGGGAAGAAAAUGACGGUACCUGACUAAGAAGCCCCGGCUAACUACGUGCCAGCAGCCGCGGUAAUACGUAGGGGGCAAGCGUUAUCCGGAUUUACUGGGUGUAAAGGGAGCGUAGGCGGCGAUGCAAGUCAGAAGUGAAAGCCCGGGGCUCAACUCCGGGACUGCUUUUGAAACUGUAUGGCUAGAUUGCAGGAGAGGCAAGUGGAAUUCCUAGUGUAGCGGUGAAAUGCGUAGAUAUUAGGAGGAACACCAGUGGCGAAGGCGGCUUGCUGGACUGUAAAUGACGCUGAGGCUCGAAAGCGUGGGGAGCAAACA
rnacentral:rRNA from 1 species